rfam:Brachypodium distachyon strain Bd21 chromosome 1, whole genome shotgun sequence.
AUACUACUCCCUCCGAUCCUAAAUUGUUGUCGAAAUAUUACAUGUAUCUAGACGCUUUUUAAGAGUAGAUACAUCCAUAUUUGGGCAAAUUUGAGACAAGAAUUUAGGAUCGGAGGGAGUAGCCU